GGACCCAUAUGCUUCCCUAGCCGCCUGGCCUCUGGAGAUAAGGACAAGCUGGUCUUCCAGGGCGGGGCUGGUUAGCAAGGUCUCGCAUUGCUCGGCCAUGGAGCGUGAAACCAUCAAGCUGAUCCAUCGGCAAGCAUUCAACUGGCACUCAACCUGACUUUGGAGGAGUUCGCAAAUGGUUGCCCUUGGUGACAGCCGGCAAAGUUCCAGGAAGCUGCCGAACCCUUUCCGAGGUUCGAACUGAGUUGUCCGGUGGCACAGAGCACCACAACGAAUCCACUGGCAGCCUUCAGAAUUCCACAGAACUGCUGUCCCUUGCCGUGGAGACCGGUUUUAUGCAGCUUGGGCUUCUCCUUCGACGAAAGAGGAAAGCGACGCAUUGACAUCAGCACCAGUCCUGCCUCUUCCUGCUGACAAGGGGACUUUAAGCAGGAAUUUAAGGCAGAGCCGGCCCAUUGUUAGUGAGAGAGUCACCGCCAGCUGCUCCGUCGGUCUGGUGCACUCUUCGGCUCUGCUGCUUGUGUGCUACUACCUGCUAUAUGUAAAUAUAGUAUAAAGCUUUUCAUCUCCUCUUCGUCUGCUCCAAGAGUCCAUUUCUCGUCUUCGACCCCGAGUCGCGAUACGCAGGAAUUUUUCUUCCCAUUACCAAGUGUGGGAGGCCAAGAGUCGACUUCAUCAAUAUGAUGCUAGCAGUGCGAUCAUGGGUAUUAAGAAUAAAACGAACUGAUCAGUUCUAAACAGAUUCUAAAAUAUUAAUUAGUGUAGUUUUAUUUAGUCCCAUACGGCUGAAGCGUAUUCAACCUUUGGACGGAUUAAUAUAUGAUAAAGCAUUAUUGGAAGGCACGCGGGUGCUUCAUGAAAGUUUCAACAUAGGUAAACCAAAGUACGACUAGCAUUGCUAGAGAUGUAAGUUAUUGAGAGUGCCUGGACAGAUGGUUAGUUAUAUGAAUACCAAGGUAUUUAUAACUACUGACGUCUUGAAGCUCGGUUCCAUUCACAUUGUAGUUAAAAGGUUCAGAACAGUUCGAAGAACGCAAGAUUUUCAUGCUUUUACACUUGGUUGGGUUAAGAGUCAUUAGCCAAGCACUGCACUAGUUAGAUAUAGUCAGCAUCGGUUUGAGAAAGGUAGUUAUCAUUUUAUAUUGUUUAUCCUAUGGUAUAGGACACAGUCGUCAGCAAAUAACUUUACAAAAGAGCUAAAUUUAUUUGGAAGGUCAUUAAUAUAGAUUAAGAAGAGCAGUGGACCCAGCACUGAAUCUUGAGGAAUGCCAGACUUAACUACACAGGGGUGUGAGGAACAAUGAUUAGCUAUUACAUGCUGAGUGUGGUGAGUCAGGAAGCAUUCUAUGCACUUCAGGAUGUUUGGGUCAAUAUGUUAAAUGCACUAGCUUUAGAAAGCAACAGAUGGUGGGACAUCUCGUCAAAGGCUUUUGCAAAGUUCAAGAACACACAAUCAACUGGUAUUCCAUAAUCCAAAGCUGGAAUGACAUUACGAGUAAAUGACAGAAGCUGAGUUUCGCAAGUAUACUGCUUACAGAAUCAUGCGCGCAGACUGCCAGCCUCAAAGUAUCGGCUGAAGAGUCCUGCUAUACGAAGGUCUCUAACAAGUCCGGCACAACAGUGGAGUCUAGCAUCUAAAGUGGUGUCUAAACUUUCACCCAAAUAAUUUCACCGGAAACUGAAGAAGCGCGGCUGCUUUGAGUAGGAAUAUGCAAGUCUAGAAAUCCGCCAAUCCAACGCCAGCAACAACUCUCCGCUUGGUGCCCA